rnacentral:rRNA from 1 species
UACGGGGGGGGCAAGCGUUGUUCGGAAUUACUGGGCGUAAAGGGCGCGUAGGCGGUUGGAUAAGUCAGCUGUGAAAACCACGGGCUUAACUCGUGGCCUGCAGUUGAGACUGUCUGGCUUGAGUGUGGGAGAGGAGAGUGGAAUUCCUGGUGUAGCGGUGAAAUGCGUAGAUAUCAGGAGGAACACCGGUGGCGAAGGCGGCUCACUGGCCCGGUACUGACGCUGAGGUGCGAAAGCGUGGGGAGCAAACAGG